UGGCGAACGGGUGAGUAACACGUGGGUGAUCUGCCCUGCACUCUGGGAUAAGCCUGGGAAACUGGGUCUAAUACCGGAUAGGACCAUGCUUUAGUGUGUGUGGUGGAAAGUUUUUUCGGUGUAGGAUGAGCCCGCGGCCUAUCAGCCUGUUGGUGGGGUAAUGGCCUACCAAGGCGGCGACGGGUAGCCGGACUGAGAGGUUGGUCGGCCACAUUGGGACUGAGAUACGGCCCAG
rnacentral:rRNA from 1 species